rnacentral:sRNA from 1 species
ACAUAGCCCCGAUAGGAACGGCAUCCUUUUUCUUUUUUUUGGUACUCCAUUUCGAUUUGGAUUGCAAACGUUCUGAAAAAGAAAAAGAUAUAGUGGAUAGCGGGUUUGACU